GACGAACGCUGGCGGCGUGCUUAACACAUGCAAGUCGAACGGAAAGGCCCUGCUUUUGUGGGGUGCUCGAGUGGCGAACGGGUGAGUAACACGUGAGUAACCUGCCCUUGACUUUGGGAUAACUUCAGGAAACUGGGGCUAAUACCGGAUAGGAGCUCCUGCUGCAUGGUGGGGGUUGGAAAGUUUCGGCGGUUGGGGAUGGACUCGCGGCUUAUCAGCUUGUUGGUGGGGUAGUGGCUACCAAGGCUUUGACGGGUAGCCGGCCUGAGAGGGUGACCGGCCACAUUGGGACUGAGAUACGGCCCAGACUCCUACGGGAGGCAGCAGUGGGGAAUAUUGCACAAUGGGCGGAAGCCUGAUGCAGCAACGCCGCGUGCGGGAUGGCGGCCUUCGGGUUGUAAACCGCUUUCGCCUGUGACGAAGCGUGAGUGACGGUAAUGGGUAAAGAAGCACCGGCUAACUACGUG
rnacentral:rRNA from 1 species